GGCUCAGCUCAGAAGCCAGCAAAGAGACACAUAAGCGCUGAGUUUUGUUUGAAGCAUUUUGUGUAGCUAAAACACAGCAGCAAGAUAUAAUAAUUAUCAUAGACCCUGGAUUUGACAGAUGCAAGCAAUGAAACCAUUCGGUAUCACAACUUCAAAAAUUGUUGUUGUUAUUUUGAUACUUGCUAUCAAGAAUUCAGUUGCAGUAAUUUCUUCGCAAAAAUUUAUUCCUACUGCUGAUGAUGAUGCAAGAUUUAAAAAAAUUGUAUCCUUGGGUGACAGUGUAGAGAUUAAAUGUUAUCGCAUUUAUGGUUUGAGAGUAAACUCAACAAUACUGAUGGUACACGAUCGGUGGCACUUACGAUCAGCCAAUGGCACGGACACUUUUAUUAACCAAGGUGAUCCCACAUUUUCUGUGCCAUUUGAGGAGAAGUACGAUGUAACUCUAACAUUUAAUCGAAGUGACUACCAAGAUGGUUGCAGUGGAACGUUCAUUGAAUACUCUCUCAGAAUAAGCAACAUCAAUGACAAGGUUCACGGACUAGAAGUUAGAUGCGGAGCACGAUUGAUUAGUGACUCUCUAGAGGACAGGUGGGAGGCCUCUCAUGUGACGGAGGUUCUUAUCGAUAACAUGACUGAUGUCAGUAUACUGAAUAAAACAUUGUCAAGCAUAUCAGAGCAGCUGGAUGUGUGUGUACAUCAAAACUCUGUUGAUGAAAGUAUAAUCCUUAAAAUUCUUAUUUCAGUCAUUGUUAUUCUUAUUGCAGUCAUUGUUAUCCUCAUUUUUUCUAUUAUCGUUAUAUGUAAUGUACCCACAUAACUGAGUGAAUUUUUUAAGCAC